AUUGAACGCUGGCGGAAUGCUUUACACAUGCAAGUCGAACGGCAGCACGGACUUCGGUCUGGUGGCGAGUGGCGAACGGGUGAGUAAUGUAUCGGAACGUGCCCAGUCGUGGGGGAUAACGUAGUGAAAAUUACGCUAAUACCGCAUACGAUCUAUGGAUGAAAGCGGGGGAUCGCACGCACUCGCGCGAUUGGAGCGGCCGAUAUCAGAUUAGGUAGGUGGUGGGGUAAAGGCCCAGCAAGCCAACGAUCUGUAGCUGGUCUGAGAGGACGACCAGCCACACUGGAACUGAGACACGGUCCAGACUCCUACGGGAGGCAGCAGUGGGGAAUUUUGGACAAUGGGCGAAAGCCUGAUCCAGCCAUUCCGCGUGCAGGAUGAAGGCCCUCGGGUUGUAAACUGCUUUUGUACAGAACGAAAAGGUUUCUACUAAUACUAGGAGCUCAUGACGGUACUGUAGGAAUAAGCACCGGCUAACUACGUGCCAGCCGCCGCGGUAA
rnacentral:rRNA from 1 species